rnacentral:rRNA from 1 species
UACGAACCGUGCGAACGUUAUUCGGAAUCACUGGGCUUAAAGCGCGUGUAGGCGGAUGGGAACGUCGGUCGUUGAAAGCCCCCGGCUCAACCGGGGAAUGGGCGCCGAAACGACCCGUCUGGAGGGACGUAGGGGGACCUGGAACUUCCGGUGGAGCGGUGAAAUGCGUAGAUAUCGUAAGGAAGACCAGUGGCGAAGGCGGUUCUCUGGGCCUUACCUGACGCUGAGGAGCGAAAGCGUGGGGAGCGAACAGG